UAAAAAUAAGCAGUAAGUGGGCUAUGUCCAACCACACGCACCCUUCUCCUUCACUUCUCCUUAGUAGCUCGUCCAGUUAGAUACGUUAAUUAAGAGUGUGCUUGGACGGGUAGGUCUGAACAUCAGCUGAGGACUGGCAGGUAGAAAUUUCUAGCACCCAAAUCUCACCAAAUACUCGACUCCCCCUCUCUCUACUCUCUCUCACUCUCUCACUAACAAUGCUCUACACUAACAUGUCAAGAGUUGGUCCAUCUUCAGCAUGAUUCCUGCAGCUCUCUCAUCAUCAAAAUCAUGUCUCUGGUUCCAGUGAUGUUCCGUUCACUGAUGAGGCUAGUGUCAUCGUUGGUUGAUCGCCCUGCGGCAUCCGUCACCACAUUACUAUACUACGGUGGUCUCUUGCCUCGGGACUUGAAUUUAGAACGAAUGGUUCAGCAAGAUCUCCUCCAUCGAGAGAACUACCUCUUCCAUUUCCUCAUUAACAUGUUGAGAUGCGUUUGGUAGAGAAUAUAGAAAUCCCACAACAACGCCACCCAGUGCACAAACACAGUGGCUCUUGAUCUAGUACUCUCUUCUCUCUUAUCUGUAUUUGUUUGUGAUAUUUGGAGAUAUGGGUAGGGGUGAUUUUGUUUUCCAGAAUGGGCCAAGGCUUCCAUUUGGAUUUUUGGAGUGAUAGAAAAUUGAGUUUAUCUGUAAUUUUGAAUUUGGAUUAGUGAACCUGAAAUUUCAUUUUUUGAUUCA